CCUACGGGAGGCAGCAGUGGGGGAUAUUGCACAAUGGGGGAAACCCUGAUGCAGCGACGCCGCGUGUAGGAAGACGGUCCUCUGGAUUGUAAACUACUGUCCCCAGGGACGAAGAUGACGGUACCUGGGGAGGAAGCUCCGGCUAACUACGUGCCAGCAGCCGCGGUAAUACGUAGGGAGCGAGCGUUGUCCGGAAUUACUGGGUGUAAAGGGAGCGUAGGCGGGGAUGCAAGUUGGGUGUUAAAUCUACCGGCUCAACUGGUAGUCGCACUCAAAACUGCAGCUCUUGAGUGAAGUAGAGGCAGGCGGAAUUCCUGGUGUAGCCGUGAAAUGCGUAGAUAUUAUGAGGAACUCCAGUGGCGAAGACGGCCUGCUGGGCUUUUACUGACGCUGAGGCUCGAAAGUGUGGGGAGCAAACAGGAUUAGAUACCCUAGUAGUC
rnacentral:rRNA from 1 species